CCUACGGGAGACAGCAGUGGGGGAUAUUGGACAAUGGGGGGAACCCUGAUCCAGCGACGCCGCGUGAGUGAAGAAGUAUUUCGGUAUGUAAAGCUCUGUCAGCAGGGAAGAAAGAAAUGACGGUACCGGACCAAGAAGCCCCGGCUAACUACGUGCCAGCAGCCGCGGUAAUACGUAGGGGGCAAGCGUUAUCCGGAAUUACUGGGUGUAAAGGGAGCGUAGACGGUUACGUAAGUCUGGAGGGAAAGGCCGGGGCCCAACCCCGGGACUGCUCUGGAAACUAUUGAACUUGCGUACAGGAGAGGUACGCGGAAUUCCUAGUGUAGCGGUGACAUGCGUAGAUAUUAGGAGGCACACCAGUGGCGAAGGCGGCUUACUGGACUGUAACUGACGUUGAGGCUCGAACGCGUGGGGAGCAAACAGGAUUAGAUACCCGGGUAGUC
rnacentral:rRNA from 1 species